CCCGUGGUGUAGUGGUCAAGCAUGUGAGGCUCUGGACCUCACGACCCAGGUUCGAAUCCUGGCGGGGCUA
rnacentral:tRNA from 1 species